rnacentral:rRNA from 1 species
CCUACGGGUGGCAGCAGUGGGGGAUAUUGCACAAUGGGGGGAACCCUGAUGCAGCGACGCCGCGUGGGUGAAGAAGUAUUUCGGUACGUAAAGCUCUAUCAGCAGGGAAGAAAAUGACGGUACCUGACUAAGAAGCCCCGGCUAACUACGUGCCAGCAGCCGCGGUAAUACGUAGGGGGCAAGCGUUAUCCGGAUUUACUGGGUGUAAAGGGGGCGUAGACGGCGGUGCAAGUCUGGAGUGAAAUCCCAGGGCUGAACCAUGGGACUGCUUUGGAAACUGUGUAGCUGGAGUGCAGGAGAGGCAAGCGGAAUUCCUAGUGUAGCGGUGAAAUGCGUAGAUAUUAGGAGGAACACCAGUGGCGAAGGCGGCCUACUGGACUGUAACUGACGUUGAGGCUCGAAAGCGUGGGGAGCAAACAGGAUUAGAUACCCGUGUAGUC